GACGAACGCUGGCGGCGUGCUUAACACAUGCAAGUCGAACGCGAACGGAGGGGGUAACUCCUCCUAGUAGAGUGGCGCACGGGUGAGUAACACGUGGGUAAUCAACCAUCGGGUGGGGGAUAACAGUCCGAAAGGACUGCUAAUCCCGCAUAAGACCACAGGGACUUCGGUCCCCGGGGCCAAAGGAGCAAUCCGCCUGUUGACGAGCCCGCGGCCCAUCAGCUAGUUGGUGAGGUAACGGCCCACCAAGGCUUAGACGGGUAGCUGGUCUGAGAGGACGACCAGCCACACUGGGACUGACACACGGCCCAGACUCCUACGGGAGGCUG
rnacentral:rRNA from 1 species